rnacentral:rRNA from 1 species
GACGUAGGGGGCGAGCGUUAUCCGGAAUUACUGGGCGUAAAGCGCACGCAGGCGGUUUAUCAAGUUCGAGAACACAGUCACCGGCUUCACCGGUGAAGGACCUCGAAAACUGAUGGACUGGAGGGCCAGAGAGGGACAUGGAAUUCCGGGAGGAGCAGUGAAAUGCGUAGAGAUCCGGAGGAACACCAAAGGCGAAGGCAGUGUCCUGGCUGGUGCCUGACGCUCAUGUGCGAAAGCCAGGGGAG